GUGCUCAUUCAGCAGCACGUACACUAAAACUGGAACAGUACAGAGAAGAUCAGCAUGCCCCCUGCACGAGGAUGACACGCAAAUUCGUGAAGCAUUCCAUAUUUUU